rnacentral:lncRNA from 1 species
AUGAAGGGGCACCCCAUUGAAAUGGAUACGGAACUCUUAUCCUGCAAAUCCAAAAUCCCAAUGAAUAAGAAACUAAUAUCUCAAGGAUGCAAUUAAAUUUUGCUUUAUGAAUAUCAACUCCGUUGUGUCCAUGCUCUAAGGUUCAGGAAUUACAAAUGUGACAAUAAGGAAGGCUAACAACACACAUUUACUACAGACCAGCAUUCUCGAUUGCAAAUUGCAUAAUACACGCUUCACAAAUAAUAGUUGUUUUUUCAAAUUCUGCUAGGUUAGACUGUCACUAUAGCUACUACUUAAUAACAGUAAUACACGCUUCACAAUUGUCCAUUUUUUAACAAGUCAAGAUUAUCCUUUAACCAUUUAAUAAAAAUGAACAAAUUAUAAAGAAUAUGUUGAAGAAUGUUUUUUAAAAAACGUGUUAGGA